AUCAGUUCUCCUGGCUUUGAUCAAAUAUUAACCGAGCUGUGUGAGUCUGAAAGUGUGUGUGAGGUGUUUAACCAGCAGAAGCGAGUGCUGUUAAUGACUGGGUCGUGAUGAUUCAGUCAGUAAAGCCUCGACACACUGCUGUUAUGAGGAGGAGCUGAUUAUGUGUCUCGCAUAUCAAAGUUCAGACCAGGUCUUUAUGAGAAUGAGUCGAUGAGAUCAGGCGGAUGCAGAUAAUGCAGCGGGUUGACGCAGAGGAUUCUGGGAAAGUCAUGUUCUAUCUCGACUAUAAGUUUUUCCUGCAGAAAUGUUUGACUGUUGUCUGAUGUGCAUUACUGGAUCCUCUGGUGAGGUUUAUGGUUCUGACUGUCCUCUGGAUUCUCUGAGGAAAGUUGAAGAUGCGAGUAAAUCCUCC